rnacentral:rRNA from 1 species
GACAGAGGAUGCAAGCGUUAUCCGGAAUGAUUGGGCGUAAAGCGUCUGUAGGUGGCUUUUUAAGUCCGCCGUCAAAUCCCAGGGCUCAACCCUGGACAGGCGGUGGAAACUGUCAAGCUUGAGUCCGGAAGAGGCGAGUGGAAUUCCUGGUGUAGCGGUGAAAUGCGCAGAUAUCAGGAGGAACACCAAUGGCGAAGGCAGCUCGCUGGGACGGUACUGACGCUGAGACGCGAAAGCGUGGGGAGCAAACAGG